rnacentral:rRNA from 1 species
UUUGAGUGAGUGGGGUCCGGGUGAGUAACACGUGGGUAACCCUGCCCUACAGCGUGGGACUACACCGGGUGCAUGCUGCAAAAAUCACAUAACGACCUGUACGGCAUGGUACCUAUCUUUAAAGAUGGUUCGGGGGAUCCCAUUUGGAUGGUCCGCAGUGCGCAUUGCCUAGAUGGUGGGGGAUCGGCUCACCAUGGCAAUGAAUGUAUAGCCAGACCUGAGAGGGUAAUCGGCCUCAUUGGGACUUAUACACGGCCCAAACUCCUACGGGAGGCAGCAGUAGGGAAUCUUCCCCAAUGGACAAAAGUGUGACGCAGCUACUCCGCGUGAGUGAAGAAGGGUUUCGGCUCGUCAAUCUCUGUUGUUAUAGAAGACCAUAUCUCAGAGUGGCUGUUCAGGUAUUGACGGUAUUUAACCAAAAAGCCACGGCUAUCUACGUGCCAGCACCCCCGGUAAUACGUAGGUGGCAAGCGUUGUCCGGAUUUAUUGGGCGUAAAGCGAGCGCAGGCGGUUUUUUAAGUUUGAUGUGAAAGCCUUCGGCUCAACCUAAGAAGUGCAUCGGAAACUGGGAAACUUGAGUGCAGAAGAGGACAGUGGAACUCCAUGUGUAUCGGUGAAAUGCGUAGAUAUAUGGAAGAACACCAGUGGCGAAGGCGGCUGUCUGGUCUGUAACUGACGCUGAGGCUCGAAAGUAUGGGUAGCAAACAGGAUUAGAUACCCUGGUAGUCCAUACCGUAAACGAUGAAUGCUAAGUGUUGGAGGGUUUCCGCCCUUCAGUGCUGCAGCUAACGCAUUAAGCAUUCCGCCUGGGGAGUACGGCCGCAAGGCUGAAACUCAAAGGAAUUGACGGGGGCCCGCACAAGCGGUGGAGCAUGUGGUUUAAUUCGAAGCUACGCGAAGAACCUUACCAGGUCUUGACAUACUAUGCAAAUUUAAGAGAUUAGACGUUCCCUUCGGGGACAUGGAUACAGGUGGUGCAUGGUUGUGGUGAGCUCGUGUCGUGAGAUGUUGGGUUAAGUCCCGCAACGAGCGCAACCCUUAUUAUCAGUUGCCAGCAUUAACCCCGGCACUCUGGUGAGACUGCCGGCGACAAACCGGAGGAAGGUGGGGAUGACGCCAAAUUAUCAUGCCCCUUAUGACCUGGGCUACACACGUGCUACAAUGGAUAGUACAACGAGUUGUGAACUCGGGAGAGUAAGCUAAUCUCUUAAAGCCAUUCUCAGUUCGGAUUGCCCGCUGCAGACUCGUCUACAUGAAGGCGGAAUCGCUAGAUGGUCGCGGAAUCAUCAUGCCGUGGUGAAUACGUUCCUGGGGCUUGGACACACCGGCCCGUCUCACCAUGAGAGUUUCCUAACACUCUAAGGCCGUUGGGUGACCUUCUAAGCACCAGCCCGCUAUGGUGGG